AAGGGCACCACAAGAACGCGUGGAGCAUGUGGCUUAAUUUGACUCAACGCGGGAAAUCUUACCGGGUCCGGACACACUGAGGAUUGACAGGCAAUUAUUGUAUUUAUUUUUAUAUAAUAUACAACAACAAAUUAUGCUAGUCCUUUCAUGAUUAUGUGAUAGGUGGUGCAUGGCCGUUCUUAGUUCGUGGAGUGAUCUGUCUGCUUAAUUGCGUUUCAAUAGGACCAUGUAAUAACAUGUAUCCAACUUUUUACUAACUUAUAUUUUUUUAUAUAUGUUAUAAAAGUUUACGGAUGCAACUGGUCCUGAAAGCAACGAACGUGACCGCAUCCUCUUGUUGCCUUUUAACUUUGUCGUUCUCUAUAGACGUCAAUAACAUAAGAGGCUUUCAGAAAACUAGAGGGACCGCUGUGACUUUUUAAACCAGAGGAAGGUUGCGGCAAUAACAGGUCUGUGAUGCCCUUAGAUGUUCCGGGCUGCACACGUGCUACAAUGAUUAUUGCAGUGAGCAUCUCAUUUUAUUUUUUGUGCUUGUUAUGUCUAUUUUUAAUAGUCAUUUGACAGCCUUAGCCUGCUUCGAAAGUUCGCAGGUAAUCAAUUGGAAGUAAUGAUUUCCCUUUUUCUAUUUUUUUCAUCUUUACAAUUAUUUGAUUUCUUUAAUUAAGCGAGCNCNCAAUAUGUUACUCUUUCUNGCUCAGACUAUACCAUCUAAUGGUUAGUUCUGCUUGUUGAGAAGUGUGUUGUCUUUUUUUAUGUGUAGACNUUAUGUCUUUUCAUUUUUAAGCAACUUUUAGCAUGUGCUUUUUGUUAAUUCAAGGUGGGGACAGNCCAUUGUUAAUUGUUGGUCUCGGUCUCAACUAGGAAUGCCUUGUACGGGUCUUUGGUUCAACAAACCACCCGGAAUACNUCCCUGCCCUUUGUACACACCGCCCGUCGCUCUUACCGAUGGACUUCUCUGUGAGUUUGAGGGACUGGGUAAUAGCUCUUUAAGCUAUAAGACACCUAUGGAAACUUAAANGAACAGUGUGGUCUAAAGGAAAGAGAAGUCGAACAAGGCA
rnacentral:rRNA from 1 species